GGAAGGUUUUUCUUUGCGGCAGCGGCAAGGUGGAAUAAUGUUACUUACUUCGAUGGGGUUGUUGUUGGAUCUUAUGGUUACGAAUUUAUUAGGGUCUUUAAUGAAAAUAUGAUUUCGAAGAGAGAUCAGGAAGAAUUGAAUAUCCAGGAACAACGUCGUAAGGAAAUGGUAUCCAAGGCGAUGCAUGAUCUGGGUGUGUCAGAUGAAUGAACUAUGUUUUUGUGGGCAGACCAAACAAGAAAAAAAUUCUCUGGUUGUUGAACUUUUUUUGUUGUUAUAUAUUUGGAAUUUGCAAUAUAAGUCCUGGUUUAGAUGACAGUAUUGUUUCAUCUUUCUUUUCUAAAUUGAAAGAUUUGAUCUAGAUGAUAAGAAUUACAAUGUUAAUGCCAAAUUUUAUGUGAUGAUA